rnacentral:rRNA from 1 species
CUGAGUACGGCGGAACACGUGAAAUUCCGUCGGAAUCCGGGAGGACCAUCUCCCAAGGCUAAAUACUCCCUAGUGACCGAUAGUGAACCAGUACCGUGAGGGAAAGGUGAAAAGCACCCCGGAAGGGGAGUGAAACAGUUCCUGAAACCGUGUGCCUACAAGUAGUUAGAGCCCGUUAAUGGGUGAUAGCGUGCCUUUUGUAGAAUGAACCGGCGAGUUACGAUUUGUUGCAAGGUUAAGCGGAAAAAGCGGAGCCGUAGCGAAAGCGAGUCUGAAUAGGGCGCAUAAGUAACAGGUCGUAGACCCGAAACCAGGUGAUCUACCCAUGUCCAGGAUGAAGGUAAGGUAAUACUUACUGGAGGUCCGAACCCACGCACGUUGAAAAGUGCGGGGAUGAGGUGUGGGUAGCGGAGAAAUUCCAAUCGAACUUGGAGAUAGCUGGUUCUCUCCGAAAUAGCUUUAGGGCUAGCCUCGAGGUAAAGAGUCAUGGAGGUAGAGCACU